rnacentral:rRNA from 1 species
CAGUAGCCGCGGGAAUACGGAGGGUGCAAGCGUUGUCCGGAUCUAUUGGGUUUAAAGGGUGCGUAGGCGGCUAUUUAAGUCAGCGGUGAAAGACUCCGGCUCAACCGGAGCAGUGCCAUUGAUACUGGAUAGCUUGAGUGUUGGAGGGGUACAUGGAAUUGAUGGUGUAGCGGUGAAAUGCAUAGAUACCAUCAGGAACACCGAUAGCGAAGGCAUUGUACUGGCCAACAACUGACGCUGAGGCACGAAAGCAUGGGGAGCGAACAGGAUUAGAUACCCCGGUAGUCCCUGUCUCUUAUAC